rnacentral:lncRNA from 1 species
AGUCAUUCCAGCUCCGCGGAUACUUGGUGCCGCCGCCGCCGCCGCCGCUGCUCAGCCGAGACCCCGGGGCUCUGCGGCUCAUUACCUUCCCCGACACGACAUGGCCAAGCGCCGCCGCCCAAAGAAGCGCGAGUCGCCGCCCGAACCGGCCGCCGCCGACACCCCGCUCCGGCCCGGGGCUGAGGAGGAAGCCGAGAAGGAGGAGGAGGAGGAGGAGGAGGAGAAGGAGGAGGCGGCGGAGGGCGGGGGAAGAGGACGGCCGUUCCGGGUUCCGCCUGAGCCCGCAGCGCAGGACGAGGAGGCGGGAGCGGCGCGCUCUGCAACCCAGAGAGUGACCUGCAUGGAGCGUGCCAGCUGAAUCCCUUGUCCUGUGUCUUCUGGCUGAGUUCUACCAUAGGAAACACCGC